UCAAUUGGAAUUAAGCAAAUUCUAAACUGUUUUUUAUCAAUUGAAGCUGUAUUGUGGACUGUCCAGUGUGUCUCUUUAAGUAUGUAGAGCUUUGGCAUAAUCAGCAUGGCAGUUUUACACACUUAAAACCAUGGAGUUAUUAAGAAUACAGAUAGAAAUUCUGUUAAUUUAGUUUCAGUAGUCCUAUGAACUGAUUAUUUAGUAACAAUCUGGGAAAAUUAAAUAUAAAUAGAUUUUAAAUAAAUAAAUGUUGGAAAAUUUUUUCAGAUGGGCAGUGUGAGUUUUAAUAGCAAUUUUUGUUGCAUGUUGGAGGUUGAACUUUCAGUAAAACAUGAAACUAAAGAAAUAUUUUACAUGCAAAUUCUUGCUUUAUACGCAAUUUAUCUUAGGGUUGAGGAUAUAGAAACAAAAGAUACAGCCCCUGCCCUCAAGGAGCUCUUUGUUUAGAUGGGAAAAAUAUUACCAUCCAAUAAUACCAUAUCAAAUGCUGGGUUAGAAGCAAAGAGCCUUGGAAGCAGUAAAUGUUUAAAGUGAGUUUUUGAGAUGAGUAGAGUUACUGUGGUGAGGCAGAGAAGGGGUGUUUCCAAGGGAAGGAGCAGCGUGUGGGAAAGCACAGAAGAGUGAGAAGGAAGCGACUACAUUUUAUUUACUUUCUAUGCAUCAUGGCCUCACACCACUGUUACUUGGUGUACAUGAGCAAAAACAGCAAGUGGUGAAAUUCUUAAUCAAGAAAAAAGCAAAUUUAAAUGCACUGGAUAGAUAUGGAAGGUAUAGUUCUUUCUUUUAAUCUGUGUGUUCCAGAUGGAUAGCAGUCACUCAAGUCAUAAAUAUUAAAUAAGAUUAAUGUAUACUUAUUGGGAUAUAGUGAUCAGUAUGAACACAAAUCAGUUCGGUAGAAAAACAAUUAUUUGGACUGGGCAACAUAAAAGUUUUAGUAGGAUUCAUCUUUUAUUAUAUUGACUGAUGUUAUUUGCUAUGUAAUGUUUUUGGUUACAUGAUCUUAUGUUAGCUAAAGGGAUUUCAUAUUUUAUGAAGUUUGAACUUUAAUUUUAGUUUACUUUAUGACUCAGUAUUGAACUUCUUAACCCUUUCUAAUAGUUUUUAACCUGUGUCUUACAUGCUUUUCCACUAAAUACGCUGUAUUAACCAUAAAUAGGGGUUGAAAAUCCUUUUGUCUUUUCAAUGAUUCUGCCUUAAGUUGCUUUCUUUGAAGAAUAUUAAUGUUAGCUUAUCCCUGCAUGACAAUUAAUUGCUGUUCCCACGUACUGUGGGUUCAACAGCUUUUUUCCUUUUUUAUUUCCAGUGUAUUUUGAUGUUUUUAUUUUUAAUUGGUAUGGAGAGAGGGAGUGAAGAUAGUUU
rnacentral:lncRNA from 1 species